GUUAAAUGAAAAGGCACAUAUAUAAUUAAAAAUGAAAACUUCCUGCUAUAUUAUUUGGGAAGUACAUUUUAAAUAUAAUCUUAUUUUUUGUAAGUAAUUACAUAGGUAUGCCAUUAGAAAUAAAAUUUAAAGAGUAAAUUAAUUCAUCUCUUUAAAAAUUAAAAAGUCAAAUACUAAUUUAAUUAAUUAAAUUUAAUUAAAACAAAAUACAUUAUCUAAAUUAUCAUAUUAAUUUUUUAUUAAUUAUUAUAGUUCACCUCUCAUCUUUAUAUGAUUCUAUUUUUGCAAAAAAUAAUACCAUCGUUAUAAAAGAAUAAUUAUA
rnacentral:sRNA from 1 species